UCCCUUAGUAACUGCGAGUGAAGCGGGAAGAGCUCAAAUUUGAAAUCUGGCGGUCUUCGGCCGUCCGAGUUGUAAUCUGUAGAGGCGUCGUCCGCGUCGGCCCGUGUACAAGUCUCCUGGAAGGGAGCGUCGUAGAGGGUGAGAAUCCCGUCCAUGACACGGACCCCCGAUGCUUUGCGAGGCGCUCUCGAAGAGUCGCGUUGUUUGGGACUGCAGCGCAAAACGGGUGGUAAAUUCCAUCUAAGGCUAAAUACAGGCGAGAGACCGAUAGCGAACAAGUACCGUGAGGGAAAGAUGAAAAGCACUUUGAAAAGAGAGUUAAACAGCACGUGAAAUCGUUGAAAGGGAAACGCUUGAAGUCAGGCGCGUCCCGGGGCACUCAGCCUUGCUUCGGCUCGGCGUACUUGUCUCGGGACGGGUCAACGUCAAUUUUGGCCGGCGGACGAGGGCGAGGGGAAUGUGGCGUCCCUUCGGGGUCGUGCUUAUAGCCCCUCGUCGGACGCGCCGGCCGGGAUUGAGGAGCUCGCAGCACGCCCUCUGUGGCCGGGGGGUGAAAUGAAGCCCCCACGUAACGUGCUUAGGAUGUUGGCAUAAUGGCUUUAAGCGACCCGUCUUGAAACACGGACCAAGGAGUCCAACACGCUUGCGAGUGUUCGGGUGGAAAACCCUUGCGCGCAAUGAAAGUGAAAGCUGGGAGCCCCGCUCUGGGGUGCACCGGCGCCCGGCCCUGAAGUGCUCUGACGGUGCCGCGGUGGAGCAGGCGUGUUGGGACCCGAAAGAUGGUGAACUAUGCCUGAAUAGGGCGAAGCCAGAGGAAACUCUGGUGGAGGCUCGCAGCGGUUCUGACGUGCAAAUCGAUCGUCGAAUUUGGG
rnacentral:rRNA from 1 species